rnacentral:rRNA from 1 species
GAUGAACGCUGGCGGCGUGCCUAAUACAUGCAAGUCGAGCGAACAGACGAGGAGCUUGCUCCUCUGACGUUAGCGGCGGACGGGUGAGUAACACGUGGAUAACCUACCUAUAAGACUGGGAUAACUUCGGGAAACCGGAGCUAAUACCGGAUAAUAUAUUGAACCGCAUGGUUCAAUAGUGAAAGACGGUUUUGCUGUCACUUAUAGAUGGAUCCGCGCCGCAUUAGCUAGUUGGUAAGGUAACGGCUUACCAAGGCAACGAUGCGUAGCCGACCUGAGAGGGUGAUCGGCCACACUGGAACUGAGACACGGUCCAGACUCCUACGGGAGGCAGCAGUAGGGAAUCUUCCGCAAUGGGCGAAAGCUUGAUGGAGCAACGCCGCGUGAGUGAUGAAGGUCUUCGGAUCGUAAAACUCUGUUAUUAGGGAAGAACAAAUGUGUAAGUAACUAUGCACGUCUUGACGGUACCUAAUCAGAAAGCCACGGCUAACUACGUG